rnacentral:rRNA from 1 species
UCAGGCCUAACACAUGCAAGUCGAACGAAGUAGCAAUACUUAGUGGCAGACGGGUGAGUAACAUGUAGGUAUCUGCCCUUUGGCCUGGAAUAACACGAGGAAACUUGUGCUAAUACCGGAUAAGUCUUUACGGAGAAAGCUUUAUGCACCAUUGGAUGAGCCUGCACUUGAUUAGUUUGUUGGUGGGGUAAUGGCCUACCAAGACUGUGAUCAAUAGCUGAUUUGAGAGGAUGAUCAGCCACAUUGGGACUGAGACACGGCCCAAACUCCUACGGGAGGCAGCAGUGGGGAAUCUUGCACAAUGGAGGAAACUCUGAUGCAGCGAUGCCGCGUGAGUGAAGAAGGCCUUUGGGUUGUAAAGCUCUUUCGUCGGGGAAGAAAAUGACUGUACCCGAAUAAGAAGGUCCGGCUAACUUCGUGCCAGCAGCCGCGGUAAUACGAAGGGACCUAGCGUAGUUCGGAAUUACUGGGCUUAAAGAGUUCGUAGGUGGUUGAAAAAGUUAGUGGUGAAAUCCCAGAGCUUAACUCUGGAACUGCCAUUAAAACUUUUCAGCUAGAGUAUGAUAGAGGAAAGCAGAAUUUCUAGUGUAGAGGUGAAAUUCGUAGAUAUUAGAAAGAAUACCAAUUGCGAAGGCAGCUUUCUGGAUCAUUACUGACACUGAGGAACGAAAGCAUGGGUAGCGAAGAGGAUUAGAUACCC